rnacentral:rRNA from 1 species
UGGGGAAUAUUGCGCAAUGGGGGGAACCCUGACGCAGCAACGCCGCGUGAAGGAAGAAGGUCUUCGGAUUGUAAACUUUUGUCGCAAAGGAAGAAAGAAAUGACGGUACUUUGUGAGAAAGCCACGGCUAACUACGUGCCAGCAGCCGCGGUAAUACGUAGGUGGCAAGCGUUGUCCGGAUUUACUGGGUGUAAAGGGCGCGCAGGCGGGCGUUCAAGUCAGAUGUGAAAUACCGGAGCUUAACUCCGGAGCUGCAUUUGAAACUGAGCGUCUUGAGUGUCGGAGAGGGAAGCGGAAUUCCUAGUGUAGCGGUGAAAUGCGUAGAUAUUAGGAGGAACACCAGUGGCGAAGGCGGCUUUCUGGACGAUAACUGACGCUGAGGCGCGAAAGCGUGGGGAGCAAACAGG